rnacentral:rRNA from 1 species
UACGUAGGUGGCAAGCGUUAUCCGGAAUUAUUGGGCGUAAAGCGCGCGUAGGCGGUUUCUUAAGUCUGAUGUGAAAGCCCCCGGCUCAACCGGGGAGGGUCAUUGGAAACUGGGGAACUUGAGUACAGAAGAGGAGAGUGGAAUUCCAUGUGUAGCGGUGAAAUGCGCAGAGAUAUGGAGGAACACCAGUGGCGAAGGCGGCUCUCUGGUCUGAAACUGACGCUGAGGUGCGAAAGCGUGGGGAUCAAACAAG